rnacentral:tRNA from 102 species
GGGGGUGUAGCUCAGUUGGUUAGAGCGCCGGCCUGUCACGCCGGAGGUCGCGGGUUCGAGCCCCGUCACUCCCGCCA